rnacentral:lncRNA from 1 species
GAGGUUCUUGUUGCGGCGUUUCCGAUCUAAUUAAGUUUUGGUCUUUCGAGAGAUUUUCUUUGUACUCCGUCUUUUCGAUAUUAAUAAAUUAUUUAUUCCGUCUUCGCCAGUGGACGUAGGCCGUUGGUCGAACCACGUAAAUAUCGGUGUGCUCUUUUCGCUUAUAUUUUCUUUUCUUGCAUUAAAUUAUUUUCUGGAUCUAUUUUUCGUCGUUCCGAUUUUAACAAUAAUAGAUAUCAAAAUAAAAUAUUCAAUAAUAACUUCUUCGAUAUAAAAAUAUUUUUCUAUAAUUAAAAGUUAUAAAUUUAAUAUUACCCCUCAAAAAGUUU